ACAAAGUAAUCACGUUGGACAGUGUCUCUGUCCCACAGGGGGCUCACACUUUUAAUGGAGAAGACAGGCAGACAUAAUAGUUGACAGCCACAUACAUGAGAAGCCUAUCAGUUGUCAGGUCAUUCUCACCCAGAGAAAGCAUCUCAAAGGAGCCCAGUACCCUUUGUGGUCAUAUUGCCCUCCUGAAGGGAGAUAGAAACAUUAAAAACAUUUCCUACGCGUAUCUUUGAAAGCCUCUAAUCCAAAAACUAACCAACUGAGCUAGCGCCAAGGAUCCACUAAUACCAAACAUUCUAAUUCUCAUCAAAAGGACAUCUGAAAGUCUGCAGAAUUCAGGACGCUCUAAAACAGUGCAAUUUACACCACUUUAACAACCUAUUGUUUAACACUUUGCCCACACAGGUGGUCCAGAACCCAUGACUGUCAGAGUUAUGAUGAGUGGCCCAUCCCAAGUCUCCGAACUGAGCCUUGUCGGAUAAACAACUUUACAUCGACGGGAUUAUAAGCCAGCACCGGACCGAACCCAAUCCAAAGAAAUGAGAAUCUACUUUAUUCCGGUCCACGGCACCGCCAGCCAGGCAGCCCUCAGCUCUCUCCUCCGCUGUUGCCGUCUCCGUGGAAAAAAGGAGCAGGAGGACAAUUCCACCUCUGGAUGUGGCACCAAGGAGAAUGCUGAGGCAUUCUCAACUGCUAUGCACAAUGUCAGCGCUCAAUACCACCUCAGAGGAAUGUGAGAUUUCAAAGGCUUCCACCAGAGGAGGCUCCCUGUGAACCCAACUAGCUUCUAGAAGCGGCGUGGCCUAGUGGAGGGGGCCUGGAAUCCGGGAGUCAGAAGGACUUGGGUUCUAAUCCCGGC